GAGAGGAUGGGGUGCAACCUCAACAUACAACAUAUCUUUUCACAGCUUCUCUACUGUUGGGAAUUUGGGACUUUCGCUUUCUUUUUCAACUAAAACAAAAGUCUAUGGCUAAUUAGCAGCACUCAUUACAGGAAGCGAGUCAGAGAGUCUUUUGCUGAACCAAACAAGGAAGGAACAAACUUCCAACAACUGCCUGGCAACUUCAAAUACUUAUCAAACAAAGACCAGAGCAGAAGACAGAGAGAAGAGAAGGGGCACCGCUACUAUCCCGCGGCCUUCAUUUACUAAUUAUACUGAGUACCUGCUGACAGAAACUCAGCCAGCCAACGAACACAGCUGAGACAAAACAUAACCAUAAUGGCUCAUUAAAGGGAAUGGAGACGACUUAGGCAAACAAAGCAGCCUUCACUGGGCUGUCACCGAAACUCCUGUGAUGGUACGUCCAAACUCAUGCUGGUGACAAGGAGGCAAAAAUGUCUCCCGCCCACCGAAACUGGAGUGUUUUGACUGCACUCAACAUGUCUCUAUUUGUUCUGUGACAAACCUAAUGUGUGCACAGCGAAGUGACAGACCACUGUGCUUCAGGGAGAGGAGAAAAGUGUGGGUUCAUCCUGUUCGUCUCUACUUUCUUAAAUAGGAGGUGUAAUUCAAGAGGUAUGACUCAAGCAUGAUUCACAUUUCACACAUUCAUUCUCCUCAUGCAGUGCAGUGACCCCUUGCACCUUGUUUCUUCAUAAAAGUCUCAUAAACUGGUAGUGAAACUAGUGAAAGCACUCUGUCACACAAGCAGAAUGCACACACAGACACACAAUUUGAUUCAUGUCUCUACUAUUCUUUUAAAUAGUGAAGACAAGGUGGUUCAAAUCCCUUCUGUAUUACAUUCAAAAAGCCUUUUUUAAAAUAAGAAUUAAGUGCUACAGCGCUGCAUAGACAGAAAGUUUUGAGUGGGAUCACAGACCUUUCAUGGCAGAAAUAUAUUCAGAAAGAUAGUUUAUUUCUCAUAUCAAACUUAUGACACAGGGGAAAUGAGUCACUGUCGAUCAAUAAUCAUUAGCAAUGUGUGAUCUGUAUAGUCUCUAGAUUUAUAUUCUACUGAAAUUCUUCCACUUUUUUGGAACAUUUUUCUUUUUUUCUCUUUUCUUUUUUUUUGAUUGAGGUUAGUGUACACAGCUAAUCCCAGAGGCCUCCACUGACCCAGCACCUACUGCAGUGAAAGCACAGUCGUAUCUGCUUAGCAAUCCCCCAGU
rnacentral:lncRNA from 1 species